GCACAUCUGUUUGUGAAAUAAUUUUUUUGGUUAUAAAGCAUUAGUGAGAUCUGGGGAACAAAUCAUGAGAUCUUCAAUUUUCAUGCUUUCAAUGAUCAACGGUUCAAUUUUAUCAAGUUUUGCACUUUUAAAGAGUGAGAGGAGGAGGAGGAUGCAAACAUAUCGGUGAAACAGAAUCAGAUUUCAUUGUCCAUAAGAAAGAACGAAGUCAUUCGUCCAAAAAAAAACGGCAGAAGUUGAUGAAGAGGGGCUCUUGACGAGGGGAAGAAACUGCGGAGAAAGAAAGCUAGUGGACACUAGGAGUACUUUUGCUUUAGUUUGUAAGAAGCUCAAGAAUUGCUUUGUCAUAUUCACGAGUUGCUGCAAUCUCCAUAGCAUAUGAUAAAACUACAUGAAUAUUAGAGUCCGAACUUGAAGAUAAUUGAGCCUGCCCCAUUCCAAAAGUAUAUGACAAAAUGAUGAUUGAAUUGGGGAGCUCGAUAUUCUAGAAAGAAGAUUAACUACAAGUCUUCUGAGAUCACUAAUGACAACAUUAAAAAUUUGAAGCAAACAUUUAUGAUUUAUCUCAUAGAUAUUAUCGUAAUGACUAGACUCUUCCUCAAAAGAGAUUGUAUAGGAAGCAAAAAUUUGUGCUCACUUAUUAGCUCAAUUAUCUCAUAGGAUCA